GGGAAGCAAGCAGAUCCCUUCGGGGUGACACUUGUGGAACGAGCGGCGGACGGGUGAGUAACACGUGGGCAACCUGCCUGUAAGACUGGGAUAACUCCGGGAAACCGGAGCUAAUACCGGAUAACACUUUUCUUCACCUGAAGGGAAGUUGAAAGGCGGCUUUCGAGCUGUCACUUACAGAUGGGCCCGCGGUGCAUUAGCUAGUUGGUAGGGUAAUGGCCUACCAAGGCGACGAUGCAUAGCCGACCUGAGAGGGUGAUCGGCCACACUGGGACUGAGACACGGCCCAGACUCCUACGGGAGGCAGCAGUAGGGAAUCUUCCGCAAUGGACGAAAGUCUGACGGAGCAACGCCGCGUGAACGAUGAAGGCUUUCGGGUCGUAAAGUUCUGUUGUUAGGGAAGAACAAGUACCGUUCAAACAGGGCGGUACCUUGACGGUACCUAACGAGGAAGCCCCGGCUAACUACGUGCCAGCAGCCGCGGUAAUACGUAGGGGGCAAGCGUUGUCCGGAAUUAUUGGGCGUAAAGCGCGCGCAGGCGGUUUCUUAAGUCUGAUGUGAAAGCCCACGGCUUAACCGUGGAGGGUCAUUGGAAACUGGGGAACUUGAGUGCAGAAGAGGAGAGCGGAAUUCCACGUGUAGCGGUGAAAUGCGUAGAUAUGUGGAGGAACACCAGUGGCGAAGGCGGCUCUCUGGUCUGUAACUGACGCUGAGGCGCGAAAGCGUGGGGAGCGAACAGGAUUAGAUACCCUGGUAGUCCACGCCGUAAACGAUGAGUGCUAGGUGUUAGGGGGUUUCCGCCCCUUAGUGCUGAAGUUAACGCAUUAAGCA
rnacentral:rRNA from 1 species